rnacentral:rRNA from 1 species
CCUACGGGGGGCUGCAGUGGGGAAUCUUGCGCAAUGGGCGAAAGCCUGACGCAGCGACGCCGCGUGAGUGAUGAAGGCCUUCGGGUUGUAAAGCUCUGUGGGGAGAGAAGAAUUAGUGUGGGCUAAUCACCACAUGAUGACGGUAUCUCCUUAGCAAGCACCGGCUAACUCUGUGCCAGCAGCCGCGGUAAGACAGAGGGUGCAAACGUUGUUCGGAAUUACUGGGCGUAAAGCGAGUGUAGGCGGUCUUGUAAGUCGGAUGUGAAAGCCCCGGGCUCAACCCGGGAAGUGCACUCGAUACUGCAAGACUUGAGUACCGGAGAGGUUGGUGGAAUUCCCGGUGUAGAGGUGAAAUUCGUAGAUAUCGAGAGGAACACCGGUGGCGAAGGCGGCCAACUGGACGAGUACUGACGCUGAGACUCGAAAGCGUGGGGAGCAAACAGGAUUAGAUACCCCAGUAGUC